CGGAUAAAAGGUACUCCGGGGAUAACAGGCUGAUACCGCCCAAGAGUUCAUAUCGACGGCGGUGUUUGGCACCUCGAUGUCGGCUCAUCACAUCCUGGGGCUGAAGUAGGUCCCAAGGGUAUGGCUGUUCGCCAUUUAAAGUGGUACGCGAGCUGGGUUUAGAACGUCGUGAGACAGUUCGGUCCCUAUCUGCCGUGGGCGCUGGAGAAUUGAGGGGGGGCUGCUCCUAGUACGAGAGGACCGGAGUGGACGCAUCACUGGUGUUCGGGUUGUCAUGCCAAUGGCAUGCCCGGUAGCUAAAUGCGGAAGAGAUAAGUGCUGAAAGCAUCUAAGCACGAAACUUGCCCCGAGAUGAGUUCUCCCUGAGACUUUAAGUCUCCUGAAGGAACGUUGAAGACGACGACGUUGAUAGGCCGGGUGUGUAAGCGCAGCGAUGCGUUGAGCUAACCGGUACUAAUGAACCGUGAGGCUUAACCUUACAACGCCGAAG
rnacentral:rRNA from 1 species